rnacentral:rRNA from 1 species
GUCUAUGGCCUUGCUACCCAGAACAAGACUGAUCCCAUCUGAUCUCAGAAGUUAAGCGGGGUUGGUUCUAGUUAGUACUUGGAUGGGAGAUCAUCUAGAAAGACCAGGUACUGUAGGUG